rfam:Aedes albopictus isolate Foshan contig134398, whole genome shotgun sequence.
UAGCCUAGUGGCUAAGGCUAUGAAUUGACAAUCCGGAGACGGCGGGUUCGAUUCCCGU